UGGGUAGGGAACAACGAGAAAGGUGAUUAUGUGUGGCUUUACCGUCUUCUUCUCCCUGGCUCCGGCGUAACCGAAACCCUAGCUGUUUCUGUCUAUCCCCUUUCAUCGUAUCAUGAUUUUGUGCGCCAUGGAGAGCUCCGAUGACGAAAAGGAUCAUGUUAACGAGAAAUCCACAGGCAACGAAUCGACUCCUACCUCUGCUAACGGUACAAAGUUUGUAGAUGAAGUUCUCAACGGUUCUAACGAGCGUUUUCUAGAGAAUUUCCGGAUGGAAAAACAUGUGUUCUAUAAACUGUGUGACAAGUUAAAAGCUAAAGGUCUCUUACGCCACACUAGCCGAAUAAAAGUCGAGGAACAAUUAGCCAUAUUUUUGUUCAUUAUCGGCCAUAACCUACGUACUCGUGCAGUACAAGAGCUGUUUAGAUACUCGGGUGAAACCAUUAGUCGUCAUUUCAACAAUGUACUAAACGCAAUUAUUGACUUUUUCAACCUCCAGGCUCCGAGAUUCCUCCAGAAAUCCAAGACGAUCCGAGAUUUUACCCUUAUUUCAUGGUAAUUUUAGUAUUUUACUGAAUUAGCGUCUAUAAGUUACUUAUUGGUUGAAAAUUAGUAACGCACUUCUGAUCAUAUUUGUUGUCUGUAAUGUAAUAGGAUUGUGUGCGAGCUGUUAACGGCACACAUUUUCCAGUAAUAGUGGGUUUAAUAUGAACAAAGCGUUCUUGCUGCUUGUUCGUUUAA